AUUUAAUUUGUUUGCUGUUCUUUUGAAUAAAUAUCUAACAGCUUUGAAGACAAUUGGAAAUGAUUUUGUUUUUGGUUUCAUUCAAGCUGUUGAUGGAGAAAAGGACCCAAAAAAUUUGCUUCUGGUCUUUGAGCUAGUCAGAGUGAUCAUUAGUAACUUUUCAAUAGGUAAGAUGUGGAAUUAAUUGUUACCUAGUAUAAGUUCUUUGACAUCAGUUUCAUUCACCUCUUCCAGUGAUUUUUGGCCAAGAUAAUUAGUAAGGGUAAUCUGUCCUUCCUUACAAUUUUUCUCCAAAUUCUGAUCCACAUUUCCUUCCAAAUUAUUAUACAUGUUCCCAUGAUUUAUUAAGAUUUUCUCUUGUGCCAUC